AGGAAGUUAUAAAACCUGGGACUUCACAAGACCUAUGAAGGAUGGUCCAACAGACCCAAUUUAUGAAUGGAGGAAUUUCCUUGGAAAUCAUUUUUUCAAAAAGUGUAUCUUAUUUAGAUGAAAAUGUUUAAUUGAUAAAACAUGGUAAUGAAUAGUGGGUCUUUCCUGAUUAGAGGGCUAUUUUUCCCAACAGUUUUUGCUAUGAUUCAUAAAAAAAACCCAUCAGUGGUUUUCUAGAGGUCAUUAGGUUUAAAUAUGAAAAAAGAUUGACAUAAAUGUGGUUAAGUGUACAUUAGCUUCAUUCUUAGCCCAAUUUCUGAAAACAGGAGUCCCUUCGUUCUAAAAUGCCACCAUUAACAUUUUGUUAAUUAAAAAAUUUGUUCAGUUUUCACCAGAGGUGAAAUAUUCCUAUUAGAUACCAUUAAUCAUAAAAUCUUUAAAACCACACACUGUAUAUUAAAUUGAUUCAUGUAUACAGUGGUAUCUUGCAUAACCUGAAUUUUUCAAUGGCUAAUUAGGAUUCCACUGUACACAAGAUCUCUUCCUUCACUAUGAAGCAUGAAUAUUGUUAGUUGUCCUAUUUCAGAGAAUUUUAACGAGUUGAGCCAACUAGUCAGUGUACAUGUGACAAUCUGAUCACUGGGGCCUGGGGACCAUGCAGUGAGGGGAUGAUCAGCAUGGACCGUACUAGAUUCUCCCACAGUCAUGUCUCUACAAUUCAAUGAGUGAGACUGCAUCUCCUGAAUACUAAACACUACCGCCACAAGCCUGACAGCAGGUGACAUUCUGGGACUUAUCAUUUCACAGGGCCCUACAAGACUUCCACAGUUCUGGGCUUCCCUGACUGUAAAAUCUUGUACAAAGCUGUAUAACCUCCAGCAGUAUGAAAUCUUAGCGAUGAAUCAAUCGCUGGAAGAUGUUUUCAGACGUGACACAACACACCCUGACUCUCCAGUCUAGUUUUAAUCUACAGUAUGUAAUUAGAUGUUAUCACACAGUAGGACUGAGCUUCCACUAGUAGUACAGUACUACUGGAGUGUCAAAUUCCUGUCACCAACGUACAAUUACAGCUGCCUUCUGUUAGACUGAUGGACAACUGAAGCAUGAAGGAACUGUUAUCCAACAUCAAAAACAAAGGCUCUAAAGCUAAAAUCUUUAAAAGCAAUAUCUGUCUACUUUACAUAACAUUAAAGGGGUAUAUAUAUCGAAAUCAAAGAGCAGCCUGUCUGUGUGUGUGUGUGUGUGAUAUCAGGGCUUUGUCUGAGACAGGUUCAUUGAACUUGAAGGAUGAAUGCAUUGAUUGUCUGUUACUCUGGGGAAAUGCUUUAAAAGGAGGCAAUGUAGCUAUCACACCAGAUAUCUUCUCCCCCAUCCCUACAUUCCUUAAUUAGAAAAAAAGCCACUUCAAUAAUUCAGUGCAAAGUACAUCUCAAAAAUAGAAAACAUUUGUGUUUUCCUUACCCACUAGAACUGACUCGUGUAAAACUUCAAAGGAGUAAAUUUUGCGGUACCAUGUAUGUCUCAAAUCAUUGCACUUAAUGUUGUCAUCGUCCCAGAGCAAUUCAAUGCGAAAAACAUCCUGUUCCGUCACGGGUUUGUCAAACUUUAGGAUCACUUUGUCUACGAUUCCGAAGCCUAGGCGAUCUAUUGCCCCCACUUUCUCUUCGGGUAAGGGAGGGUCAAACAUGCGGUCGUAGGCAGCCUUCAACACGCCCAGAGACACUGUCACAAUCACAUGAUUUGCAUAGAACAUUUCACCAUUCUCACACUCCACCAUCACUUUGUAGUCGCUUUCGUUACAGUUUUUCCGGCUCCAGUGGACACACCUCACUGGGUGAUUGAGCAAAAUGUUGUCUUUGGGAAUUGAACUUUUAAGGAUUUCUAGUACUGCCUCAAAACCAGGUGGUAUAGAGUAGUGCACUCCUGGUAGCUCUUCGUAACCACCAAACUCGCUGAGCGAGACAUCUUCCAGUCUAUCACAUCCUGAUAUACAACACUCCAGCAACUUCCUUUGAUUAAAAACCAUCUCUCGUAUAUGACGGUCGCCGUUGGUGUACUUCUCUAGUCUCUCCGAGAACUCCCGCUCCAGAAAGGCCCCCACACUGUCAUUUUCCUCCUCAGUCGGGAUGCUGCUCUGGUAGAAAUCUUCCGCCUGGAUGAUCAGCUGUCCGUAAGCCAGAUUCACAGAGUUUACCACCUUUUCAUUGACCUCCUUACCCUCCUCGGUUAGGAAACAGUUGCGAUGUCGCAGACCUUUGUCACCGUGGCGGAGCUUUAGCAGGUUGUUAUCAUCGGCUAUUUUGUAGAUGGGAUUUCUCUCGAUGCCAUGGAUCCAGUGGGCUCCCAGGUCCACUUUCUUCCCUUCAUCUGAAAAUAAGCAGACUUUGUUAAAUGGAGUAAGGAGAUUAUAGACGAUUUCACAAUAUAUUGUAUUACUUUACAUGUCAUCACAUUUCUUUUCAAAUUAUUGUAAUAUAUUAUCUGGAUUUUUAUUAUUCUAUGAAAAUUACACAAUCUGUCACUUGGU
rnacentral:sRNA from 1 species